AUUGAACGCUGGCGGCAGGCCUAACACAUGCAAGUCGAGCGGCGCGGCUGACGGGUGGGUAAUGCCUAGGAAUCUGCCUGGUCGUGGGGGAUAACGUCCGGAUACGGGCGCUAAUACCGCACACUCUCAGCUGAGUCUAGGUGGGAUUAGUUAGUUGGUGGGGUAAAGGCCUACCAAGGCGACGAUCCGUAACUGGUCUGCGUGGAGGAUAAGUCACACUGGAACGGGGACACGGUCCAGGCUCCUACGGGAGGCAGCAGUGGGGAAUAGUGGACAAUGGGCGAAAGCCUGAUCCAGCCAUGCCGCGUGUGUGAAGAAGGUCUUCGGAUUGUAAAGAACUUUAAGUUGGGAGGCGUUACCAGCAGAAUAAGCACCGGCUAACUACGUGCCAGCAGCCGCGGUAAUUC
rnacentral:rRNA from 1 species